GUUCGAAGUAAAGUAAUUUUGCUAAACAUGUAACGUAGUUAGCCUAAAACAAUACAUUCGGGUGUGGCAUCUUCUUAAAAAAUACAUUGAUGAUUUAUGAUUGAUAUAACUAUAUUAAAUACAAGAUUCAAAUAGGUAUUCAUUGAAUUCACGUAAUUUUCAGACAACGAUGUAGCCGGGAAAAAAAAUAAAAUUAUUAAAACAUCUUUUAUUAUAUCUUGUUCGUUUAUACGACGAUCCGCAAGCAAAUGUCUGUAUGGGAACAAAAUGGGCACCGAUCGUUAUAUUGUAACGCGUCCAUAAUAAAAGCUUCGUAGGCCGCAGAUCGAGUAUAAAUUACGGUUGUGGCCUGAUGACCGUCCAUGGUAAAGACGAAAAAUGAUGUCUUA